AGGUGAUAUAUUGAAAAAAGGUAUAUGUAAUUAAUAUUAUUUUAAGGAUUACGAAUCAAAAUUUAAAUAAUGAUAAAAAGAUAAAAACUGUAAUAACAGGGAUCAAUCAUAAUCAUGAAAAUGAUAAAAAGAGAAACAAGUGGAAUGAAACAUCUGAGUAACUUGUUAAAUAACCAACAGGGAUAAUAUAAGUAACGGUGAGUGAAAGUAUUAAAAUCUUAAAGUAUUACCAAGAGGUAAGAAUAAAGUAGUUUCCAACUACUAAGAAAUAAAAUUAAAUUUUAGAUUAAAGUACCGCAAGGGAAAGUAAAGAAAUAGAAUAAUAAAGAGCAGUUAUAGUAUAACGUACCUCUUGUAUAAGUGCGACAAGAAGCAUUAAUAAUUAAUGUGGCUAAUAACCACCUAACCUUUCCAUUGGUUAGACCCUAUCUAUACAUGCUGAAGGAGUAAUCAUCAGUUUGAAGCUAUAGAGACAAUGUAACAUUAUUCCCAUUAAAUUUAAUCGGAGUGCUAGGGUAAUAAUUCUAUGAUAAACGAAAGUGAACUUGCAUUGAGGCUUCGUAAAAAAUCGCCCCGCGAAGCGGGGCGAUACCGGCCUACCGGCCGGCAUUGUUAAGUCAAAUCUUUCUUAUACUGGGAUUUGAAAUGGAACAUAUUUAACACGAAGUAAAGCAUAGUAUCUAAGGAAUGUCCGGUAUAUGACUGGUAAAUUAUCCCCCUGCUUCGCAGGGGAUGAUUAAUCCCCGAAGGGGGAUAAAUUAUGGAAAAUUAAUCCGUUAAUGUAUUUUAAUUAUUAGUGAACUUGGUAAGCCCUUAGUUUUCUAAAUAUAAUGUUAUAUUUAGAGGUAACAUAUAAAGAUUAAUCUGAAAUUGUUAUAUCGAACUUAGGGUAUAAGAAGAUUCAAAAAGCGAAUGCAGAUUAGUAAUAGAUCUGAUAAAGUUUUAUAACUUAAUCCGAGAGGAUGCAGACUUGAAUCAUUGUGAUCUUCAUAAUUAUUUAGCUCUUUAAGAGCAAUAUGAUAAUCUAAAGCUUUCGGUAGAUUAUGAUAGAGAUCUUGUUAUAAUACAAGUGAAAAUAAUUAUUGCUAAAUAAAAGCCCACAUAGUGGGUAAUUGGCUAAUAUUGUAAUAUGGGCCCGCCGAAGGCGGCCGAUAUUAUCCCCGGCGGAGCCGGGGAAAUAUUACAAUUAAGUAAGAUUGCAUGAGCCGUAUGCGAUGAAAGUCGCACGUACGGUUCUAAGGGGGGGAAAAACUGAGAGGUUCUACCUAUCCCAAUUGGGCCAGUGAGUUAUAUAAUUUAGUGAAAAAUUGAAUAAAAAUUUUUAUAUAUAAAUAGAAAUAAAUUAAAUUAUAUAGGCCCGAAAGCAAACGAUCUACACAUGUCCAAGUGUAUAUACAACCUAUUUUAGGUUUAUAUAUGACUCAAUAGGUAAUUGUAGCAAUAAUUUCUAAAGAGGUGUGUGUAGCUGUGACAGACAAAUCUGGUUUGCAGAUAGCUGGUUUUCUGCGAAAUAUAUUUUAGUAUAGCCUUUAUACAUAUUUAAACUGGUACAGCACUUAAAUAACUUUGGGGAAUUAGAAUAUAAUUUUAUCAAAAUAUUUAAACCUCGGAAUCAGUUAAUAAUAAUAUAAGGAGUCAGACUUAUUGCGAUAAGGUAGUAGGUCGAGAAGGAAACAACCUAGACUAUUAAAUGAAUGUCCCAAAUAUUAAUUAAGUGAACAAAAUCUAUCCUACUUUUAUUUUUUUUAAUAAAGGUUGAAAUUAUAUGUUAUAAUUUCACAUUAUUUUUCUUCGGAAUUAUAUACGGGGUAUUAAAUUAUAGACAAUUAGUAAGUGGGUUUGACAAUAAUCAACUUUUAAUGAACAUGUAACAAUGCACUAAUUUUAUAUAUAUAUAUAUAAAUAAUAUAUAUAUUUAUUAAUAAUAGAGAAAAUAUAUCGGGUCUAAAUUAAUAACAGUAUUAUAGAUAUAAUCAUUAAGAUUAUAUGGUAGCAGAAUAUAUAAUGGAUAAUUAUAAAGAGAUUGCUGGCUUGAGUAACGAUAGAUAAUAUAAGAUUAUCCCCUUAUUCAUAAGGUUUUACUAUAAACGAACGGUCCCUAAGAUAAUUAUAGAAAUAUAAAAUUGAUGGGUGAAAGAACAAGAAAAUAAAAAUGAACCGUACUGUAGACCGACACAGGUAUGAUUAGCAAAAAGGGAAUGGGAUAACUACUUUGAAUGAACUCGGCAAAAUAAAUCGUGCGACUGUUUACCAAAAACAUAGCUUAUUGCAUACUAGUAAUAGUAAGUAUAAUAAGUGAUAUCUGCCCGGUGUUAGUUUAAUAAAUAUUAUUAUUUAAUAGAUAAUUUUAUAAAAGACUGAUAAACGGCGGUCUUAUUGUGAGGAUCCGAAGGUAGCGGUGCGACAAGAUAAAUUCGUAAUAAGAAUAAGGUGAAAACCCUUUACAAUAAAUGUCAUAUUUGUAAACCUAAUUCAACAUGCAUUAUGAGUAAUUAUUUUGUAUGAAGCUUGAAUGACAACGGCUAUAAACUUUAUCUGAUAUAAGUGAUCUGGUCUAGGUUAGAACGACAUGAUUAGUUUAUCAAAAUAGUGGAUUAAAAUCUCGUUAUAGGAAAGUAACAUGAUCAGUUUUUGGUUACUAUAUAUGAUUUAAAUAAUAUCGACGCUACGGAUAUUAUUAUAUGACUUAAUAAUAAAAAAUCAUCGGGAUAUAGCUAUAAUCUAAAUCGUUCAUUAAAGUCUUAUUACGGAAACUUGGUAAACCUUAUACAUACCUAUAUUUUAUAGGAAGUAAUAUAUAAAAUUAAUAUAAUGGAAAUUAUUAUAUAGUGUAGAAGGUAAAGGAUAAAUAUAAAAAGCGAAUGAUUUUAUGUAAUGUAAAAUAUAGAGUUAAAUAACUCAUUCUGAAAGGAAGCUAACUUAUAUAUAAGGCCAUAAAAAAUUUUAUGGUUUGAGCCGUAAGCAGUGAAAGUUGCACAUACGGUUCUUAAGGGGGGAAAGCUUGAGAGGGCCUACCUAUCCUAACAAAUUCAUUGACGUAUAAUUGACGUCCUGCAUGAAUGAAUAUACGAUGCGAUAACUGUAUCCAAAGUAGACUCAGUGAAAUAGCAAUUGCGGUGAAAUUAGUACUAUAAUAUAUAUAUUAUAUGCCGGGUUGGUGUAAAUCCAACUUUAUAGUUUUAAUAAUGCGCCCCGCGAAGCGGGGCGAUGAGAUAUUAAAUGUCUUAAAUGACAGAUAAGUAUAAUAAAUAAGAAUACAAUCGAAAUAAUACUUACCCCUUAAAUAUAAGGGUAAAUUACAUAUAGGCAAUAUGUAGUUUAAUCACUAUAAAUAAAAAGGUGAAAACGGUUAAUGACAUCUUAGUUAAAGACCGUCGGCAGUUGUAUAUGUCGCUACAGACUGGUUCACCGAGGUUAGACUGAAAUGUCUGUCUAAAUGUACAGUCGGAUUCUGUAAUAUAAUAUUUAUAUUAUAUAGAGGUGAAAGAUGUAUAAAAAAUACAACUUAUUAGUACUUAAGUAAGAAACCUUUGUAGGUCAAACCUACUUAAAUUAAUCAGAAUUGGAAGAUGCCGUAUAUCCGUAGGUUGACAAAAAGACCCUAUGCAGCUUUACUAUAUCUUUAUUUUGAUUUUUAAUCAUAAUAUUUUUAUGAUUCGCCUUUUUUCAUUUAUUUCAGUAGAUUAGGUUAUAUUUAUAUUUUAAAUCAAAUGAGAUACCUAUAUAAUUGAAAAAAGAAUCUAAUUAAUACAGUCAGAAUUCUAUAAUAUAGAAUGUUAGUUAUACUAAUUGACUUAAGUUUAACUUAUUUAAGAAAGAGUAAAGAGGUUAGUUUCGAUGGGGCGUCGACAUCAGCGAAAGCAUCUGAUGUGUCUAAUAACAAAGAUCUUGAUUAAUCAAGACUAAAUGUUUAAUUAAAUUUUUUAUUUAAUAGUAAAUUACGUACAAUAAUUCUAUAUGGUAAAUAGAAUAAAAGAUUAUAAGUAAGGAUAACAACAUAAUUGUGCGAUGAUAAUAACACUAACAAGUGGAAUUAGUACUUACGUAGAGUGUAGUGAACAGGCAUAAACAAAUGGUAUGGAUGUCGAUAACGGAUUAAAGUUACGCUAGGGAUUAAUUGUUAGUUCCUUUAUAUAGAAAUAUAUAUUUAUCUACGCUUUAGUUAGAUAACUUUCAUUUGAAAGAUAUUAAUUGGGUGAAUUACAUAGAACUCUUUAUAUAUAAAGACAAUAUGUAGCGAAACAUAUAUUAGUUAAAUUUUUAAGAUAUAUGAACGUUCAACGACUAGUAAUUGAGUAAACUAACAAUAAUAUUACCACGAGCGCCCAAUACCUAUGAAUUAUCCCCCCCGCAAAGCGGGGGUUGAUUAUAUCCCCCAAAGGGGAUAAAUAAUUAGGUAAAGAAAUAGUCUGAACUAUAUAGUAAUAUAUAGAUGUUGUUAUUAAAAAAACAACAAAUAACAAAAUUGAACAGGGUAAUACCGCGUGAGAGUUGAUAUCGUCAGCGGUGUUUGCCACCUCGAUAAAUAACGAUAGUCGAGUUUAAAUAGGUUUAAUUGCAAGAAGUCUAAAAUAUAUGACAUAUUAGUUUGAUAUAUAAAAUGAUGAUUUGCAGCGAAUUAUUAUUUAUAUAAAUAAUAUAUAUAUAUUAUAAGAAUAAUAAACGUUCAACGACUAGUAGGUGAGUAAAAUAACAAUAUCCUACCACGAAAUACCUAGAAAUAUAUAUAUUUAUAUUUUAAGAUAUAGUCUGAACAAUAAUGAAAAUUAUUGAAGUUAAUAUUAAAUAAGUUAACGAUAACAAAUUGGUCGUCUAGACUCGUCCUCCUGGUCGCAGCAACUAGGUAGGGUAGGACUGUUCGUCCUCUAAGGAGUUACUUGAGAUGGGUUAAUUACGACGUGAGUCAGUAAUGAUUUUAUCAUCUAUGGAUUUUUUUCUUAUCUGUUGCCUUAAGUGUACGCAAGGAUAAUAAGGUACAUUCCUAUGGUUAAUUAUUAUAUUUAGCUAAGAAUGUUGUGUUUACAUAUUGAAUGCAUAUCAAAUAUUAAAUCCUUCAGAUAAGUUUAUACAUUAUAGACUAUAAUGUAUUAGUUAAUUUGUUAUAUUUGCAAAUAUACUAAUUUAUUUACUCAUAUUUUAUGAGUAUAAAAAAAAACAUAUACCU
rnacentral:rRNA from 1 species